CUACGGGGCGCACCAGUGAGGAAUAUUGCACAAUGGGGGGAACCCUGAUGCAGCAACGCCGCGUGGAGGAUGACGCAUUUCGGUGUGUAAACUCCUUUUAUAUGUCAAGAAAAUGACGGUAGCAUAUGAAUAAGCACCGGCUAACUCCGUGCCAGCAGCCGACGGUAAUACGGAGGGUGCAAGCGUUACUCGGAAUCACUGGGCGUAAAGGACGCGUAGGCGGGCUUGUAAGUCAGGUGUGAAAUCCUACAGCUUAACUGUAGAACUGCACUUGAAACUACGAGCCUAGAGUAUGGGAGGGGGAGAUGGAAUUAGUGGUGUAGGGGUAAAAUCCGUAGAUAUCACUAGGAAUACCUAAAGCGAAGGCGAUCUCCUGGAACAUAACUGACGCUAAGGCGUGAAAGCGUGGGGAGCAAACAGGAUUAGAUACCCCAGUAGUC
rnacentral:rRNA from 1 species